rnacentral:rRNA from 1 species
CCUACGGGAGGCAGCAGUGGGGAAUAUUGCACAAUGGGGGAAACCCUGAUGCAGCGACGCCGCGUGAGUGAAGAAGGAAUUCGGGAGGGAAAGCUCUAUCAGCAGGGAAGAAAAUGACGGUACCUGAGGAAGAAGCCCCGGCUAACGACGUGCCAGCAGCCGCGGUAAUACGUAGGGGGCAAGCGUUAUCCGGAGUUACUGGGGGUAAAGGGAGCGUAGACGGCAGUGGAAGUCUGGAGUGAAAGUCGGGGGCUCAACCCCCGGACUGCUCUUGAAACUGUCCGGCUGGAGUGCAGGAGAGGUAAGUGGAAUUCCUCGUGUAGCGGUGAACUUCGUAGAUAUUAGGAGG